AUUUUUGCAGUACUAGGCUCCCCGAUGUGGCGCCUUCCGGUGACGCCUUCCUAAGUAGUUACCGUACGUACUCGGGGUCUCGAACACGAACUGGGGCGGCCGAGUGUUGCGACAAGGUACUAAGCGCUGGCUUCGGGCACCGAGAUAGACUUCACCGCAACCGUCUGCCACGGUCCCAGAUGGCUGGCGGACAAGUUGACAGAACCGGGAAAAUAAAGAACGAGCUGCAAAGCCGUGCCAAUACGCAGCCGGGAUGCUCACCGCUUCGGAAGUUCAAACCUCUCGACCGGGUCCGUCCCGUAUUUGCACACACGCUCCGUGUCCGGGCGAGUUCACAACAACAAAAAGGAGCGGAAUGCCGGACGACCCAAGCACGGCGGGUUCGGUGACACUGACAGCGAGCGACGCGAUGCCUUGAUAUAGAUGUGGAGAUUCUCUGGGUUUCGAUGGCACCUACGUAGAGGCAUGGCCCAAGGGGUACCUGGUCUCUGUCGCUCCUAGCGUGUGCUUCCCCGUGUGGACAUGGCCUAUACGGGCCGACAACAGUGGAGAUGUGGGUGAUGUGCGGUGCGCCCUCCCACGUCUCCAGGUCUCUCCCCCAAACAAAUCAUCCCCCAGAAAUUGGGGAAGUUCGGUCAAAUUGUGGUCACCCCGCGAACAGAAACUCGGGGGAAAACGCGAGAGUGGUGAAUGAGCACACGACGAUGGAACUCGGGAGAGCUUUGCUGAAGAACCCGCUCUGGAGUUGUAGCAGAUCAAGACAAGAUGUGUCACAAACGUCACCUCUCAGAAGGGACCCUUGAUGACUUCUCUCUCCAACUAGCCAAAAAAGGAGGAGGGAGGGGAACGACUCAAUUCAGUUCCCACAAAGUCGCACACCGCGCGGGGCAAGGGUAGGACGACCAACCUGGUCGCCGUCGAAGAUUUCACCCCGACGCGUGGAACGCCGGAUGGGGACUGACUCCACUGAGACUUGUUACACCGGUACACCCGACGAUGGUGACGGCGCCGUCGGGCAGUGAUGCGGAGGUUGUAUUGGUUUCUUUCUCCGAUAGCUCGCUCUGACGGCGGCGGUCCAGGCCUUUGUUUUCGGCAGUUAUCACCGUGUCGAACUCGGUGCGCGGACUCAGUGUUGAACGCGAUACAUCACACAUAACGGCGGUCGCAGCACGUUUGGGUACCAUGGGCGAGAGCCUAGAAUUACUGCGAGGGCUUCUGGGAACUGUCUACGGUCCCCCCUUCCACGUGCAAACAUCGACAAGGUAAUAGAUGAAAUAGGUUAAACUAUUUUCUUGCAGUC